rnacentral:rRNA from 1 species
AACGAACGCUGGCGGCAUGCCUAACACAUGCAAGUCGAACGAGACGUUCGGGUCUAGUGGCGCAUGGGUGCGUAACGCGUGGGAACCUGCCCUUAGGUUUGGAAUAACUCUCCGACAGGGGUGCUAAUACCGGAUAGUGUCUUCGGACCAAGGAUUUAUUGACUUUGGUUGGGCCCGCGUUGGAUUAGGUUAUUGGUAGGGUAAUAGCCUACCAAGGCGACGAUCCAUAGCUGGUCUGAGAGGAUGAUCAGCCACACUGGGACUGAGACACGGCCCAGACUCCUACGGGAGGCAGCAGUGGGAAAUAGUGGACAAGGGGCGAAAGCCUGAUCCAGCAGUGCCGCGUGAGUGAUUAAGGCCUAAGAGUAAAAAAGCACUUUUACCCGGAAUGAUAAUGACAGUACCGGGAGAAUAAGCGCCGGCUAACUCCG